rnacentral:lncRNA from 1 species
CCUCCUCUCUCGCUCGCUCGCUCGCUUGCUCGCUCUCUGCUCUUCCUCCGCCUCCUCAUCUGCUCAUUAGUAACCAUGCACAUACUUCUUCCCCACAGGAGGAGAUUACGCAAGGCAGCCUGCGCCUCAUCUGCAUACACUUACAUGCUGGGUAUUCCCCACAUUCCCUAGCAGUAAGGCCACUAGCGAAGACCUUCCCCUUUGCGCACAGAGAGAGAGAGAAAGAAGGGGGAAGCAACGGCGACUUGUGAGGGAGAGACGGAAGGUUUUCUGGAGGGGGGGAGGGAGGGAAGGGGAGGGGAGGCGGUUCCUAGCGAAGGUUGCCAGAUAUGAACUUCUUAUAAACACGAAGCAAAAGCAACCCUGGAUAGACCCGAGCCUUUCCCGAGAACGUGGUGGUGACAGAGCCUAGGGCUGCCUCUGCCCUCAAGGCUUCCAUUAGUCGCUCUAUCGACUGCAUCGGAAAUGCUUGAGCAUCCCAGCGCAGCAGCGAAAGGAGACCAGCACAUAUUCCUAGCUCCCCCCGGCCCCUCCUUCCUCGGCACCAUCUCCCCAAAGGAAACUGAGCAGUUCAGGGAAAUGCGGGGGGGGGGGGAUAAGUGAUGCUACCCAUCCGAACACACUAAGUCCCCCCUUUUCACCCCGCUGGCAAAACCUUGAGCUCUCACCCCUGUGUGUGUAUAUUAUUUCAAAGUCUUCUUUCAGUACAUGCACGCAAGCCAGCAAAAGCACUUGCUCUCCGACUGCCAAAGGGGGUGGGGGUGGACAAAAACAACCAGCGACAUGACACUGCCUCUCUCCCCCCUCCACAGUGACAGUAAAACCCCUGACCGUGGCGAUCAAGGCCACCUCAGAGGGUUGUCAGUUGCUUCGAGCCCCACAGGAAAAAGAAGGGGGUGAGUAUUUGCAGCAGGAGCUCACCUGGGAGUCACCGAGAAGGAGGAAAGCCCUCUAACUGCCGCCCUUCUUGCUGCUGCUGCUGCCGCUGGUGUUGUUGUUGUUGUUGACGACCGGCCCGUGUGUGAUUUCUUGUUGCUCUCUUGCUAAGCCUGUGUCUGCCUUUAAAUGCCUUGCUGCAUUGCUUUAUAUAGAGAGGCAGAAAGAGAUAUUCCGACAGCCAAAGGGCGUCUGAUUCGUGUGUUUCUAUUCAAACCGAUCAUUCAUCUUGCUUGGCUCUUUUCCGCUUUCUCUUUUCCCUUUCUCUCUCCGCGUCAGCUCGACUUUAUUACAAAAAAACACACCUAUACACGCGCGCAUAUAUAUAUAUAUAUGUAUGUAUGUAUAGAUAUAUAUACACACACAUACAUCCACACGUAUCAAGGGCAGGCCCGAGAAGCCGCAGUUGUUGUGUGUGUGUGUGUGUGUGUGUGUGUGUGUGUGUGUGGUGUGGCGUGCGUGUCCCCCCCCCCCUUUCUCCUCCCUUCUGGAUGAUAGGAGCCUCUGAUCUGCAGACAGACUGGGUUAUUCCUGGCACCACUUCCCAGAACAGAAGUUACAAGGGGAGAGCGAGCGAGCGAGGGGAGAGCUCAGCCAGUGAUGUCAUCGGAUCCCCCAGCGCGUCCCGGGGAGGGAGGGAGGGAGGCAGGCAGGCAGGCGAGGAGGCUGAACCAGAAGGCCAGCAGCGCGAGAGAGCCGCCGCGGGCUCCGCUGCGCGCCUUUGACAGGCGGAGUGCGUAGGAGAGGGGCACCGAGGCGGGGCGGAGAGACAGAGAGAGGGAGGGAGGGAGAGGAGGAGAGGGAGGGGCGGGGCCUCCUUGAGAGCGGAGAGCUACGCGCCUCCCUCGCCGGUCAGGGGAGAUCUCGCUUCCUCUUCCCUCCCCCCGCGGAGGGAACUCCCAGGAGAGCCGGUCUCAACUUGCCGGGCAAAAAAAAAAAAAGUUGUGCGACUUCCUCGCCUGAGAAUUUCCUUUAAGGAUGUGGGUGGGAUCUUCUUUCCCGCGGCCAGGCUCCCCUUCCUCCGCCUCCUCCGCCCUUUUUGGUUGCUUUCCGUCCCCGGUCUCCGCCUCCUUCGCCUGGCCAAGGUCAUUCCUGCGGCAUUUCUUCCUUGCUUUCUUUUUUAAAGUUUGCCUUUUGCGGCUUCUUCCGGCGAAUCGCCUGCCCCGCUGCCCUUUUCCCUCGAUGCGCCCGGGAGAAGUUCGUCGGAUGCUGGCGGGACCUGGCUGUUGCUCCUGCGGCCUCGCGGCUUUUGCCUUGUCCUCGGCGGCAUGCGAUUUUCGAAAACAAAAUGUCUCUUAGCGGCGAUGCUUCAGCAGCAGCCGGUGUGGAUUUCCAGGCGGGAAGCGAAUAGUUUAGGGAAUGUUCUUGCUUUGACUUUGGUGAUUAGCCGCAAUAUUUACUUGCGUUGUGGUGGGGGUCUUUUUUUCUCCCCAUGGCAGAUAAAUAAAUUCAUUUUAAAGAGGUGCGGGGGCGGGUCGUAAUAAAAAAUAUUUUGGUUGAUUUGCAGAUUUAUAGAAAUUGUCCAGAUCAGAUGACGUUCUUUCAUGAAUGUUAUGGGAACGCCAGCAACUCUUUUUUCAAAGGACUGUCAGUCUGAAUAGUAGGAACUUCGGAGUUUGUCUGCGCUCUCUGGGCCAAUCAAAAUUUGUAUCUCUUUACCUCCGCUGGGUUUGAGCCAUUCUCAAGCAGAUAUGGAAUGGAAUGGAAUUUGGAAAAUGGGAUCUAGUAGAAUCUAAAUUCACAUGACUUAAGUUCGGAUCACACAAAACCAUCAGCAAACGGUGCCAUAAAACUUGUGGAACCAAAUCUUGUAUGUUGCUGCAGCGGUAUAAAAAAACAUACAGGCUCAAAGAGACAUCCUUGUGGUUUUCACAUGGAGCCCAUCCCCCAAGCCAUCUUCAAGGGCACAUCCUUUUCUAUGGACUUAACAUAACUUAAUUAAAAAAACCCUAAUAAUAUAAACCCUAACUAUAACCAUGGACUUAUAGCUUUGGGGUCUAGCAUCUGCUUUGCAUGCAGAAUGUCCCAGGUUCAAUCCUGCUGCUGCCAGUCAGUGUAGGCAAUACUCAGAUCAGGGGUUGCUAUCCAGGUGGUCCACAGUCCAUCUGUGCAUUUAUGGCUGAAAAUGGGAGUCAUCACAUCCACCACAUUAAAUAUUGGUAUUGUUUUUACUUGUAGUUUUAUUGUUGCUUUUAUUUCUUGUAUUUUAUUUAUUGGAAUUUGACUUCUGCAGAAUUCAAAAUGUAAUAUUGCAAUUGUAUUUUGUAAUACUACAAAAUACAAUUGAUAAGAAAUAAAAGCAGCAGUAAAAGUACAGCCCCUAGCACAUCACAUUACAAUUGCUACAACAGGCAGAAAAAUCAUUAAGAAGACUGCCAAGACCAGCAAUUUUCAAAUAGUCUUUUUUUUUUUUUUGCAGGGGGAGGGUACUUUGGGAACCACUGAGCUAGAUGGGCAGUGGUCUGACUGUAUAAUACAUCUCCCCAUGUUCCUUUCUACCAAGUGGUAUCUGGCAUUAUGUGUCUUCUCUGAAUAUGACUAAAGUUGCAUAUCCCACACAAAACCAAAAAUUUGAAGCAUGACACAGUCUAUAGACAAAGUUGUGAUUUGAUGGUGGAUUUGGAGAGACUCCAUACAAAAAGCUACACCUCCGGUUUGUGUUUUUGUGCCACUGUGGCACUACAAAACAUUGCAUUUGUUAUUUUUACAGUGUGGUCUGUGGGCAUGGAUUUGAGCUGUUGAUCCAUCUUUUUCAAAAUAGUGUACAAUUCCUGUAAGAAACUAAAAGGAAGCACACAUUAUUAUAUUUGAAAUGGAAGCUCUUGUAGUUCUCUGAUUUCUGGGUAAUUUGCAGCUACUUUCGAUUUUCACACAUCCUGCCAAGGUUUGGCGUUUACUUCUAUAGCGUAGAGUUGUAAUUUAAAGCCACCACCUCAAAUUAGAGUUUAGCCACACUGCCACAACCUUGGACUGGUAGUUCGGAAGAACUGCAAUCUGUUUGUUCAUACCAAAAGCCCUUUCCUGGCUGUGUGAAAUGCAGUACCCUCUGGGAUUGGUCCUGAGUGUCUGUAAUAAUAGUAGGAAUUAAAAUGUUAUGUGAAUAGGGGCAUGGAAAGAAGCAGCUCUAGGGAACUCCAACCGAGAAAUGUGACCUAGGACGGUAAUCGUUCUGAGAUCAAGUUGUUAAGAAUCACACAGUGUUAAGUAAAGUUUGUACCAUGCUUGGAUCCCCUGUGGCAUCAUUUUAUACUGUUUGCAGCAGCAAAUAUUACAGGGUUUCAAGAGGAAUUUUAAAAACAAAGCGAAAUGGUCUAGUAGUUAAAGCCUCCGGGUCAUUGUUUAAAAGAAACACUGAUAAAAACUGGAAAAGAGGGAGGGGGGCAUUUGUUUACACAGAGUUGCAAAUGGAGAAGAUAAGGACGACAAAUUUCAGUCAGCAAAAAGAAACAGAAGAAUUAAGAGGUAUCUUAUAAUUUUCCAUUUGGUGAAAGAGGGAAUACAAGUUUUGACAUACCUGAAGCGUUCUGUGUACCCAGAAGAAACACUACAUAUACAAGUUGCAAAUUGUUCACAGGAAUUCAUAGUAAAGGAGACCGUAGAGACUCAUUUCUGACUCAUUCAAAGCUGUUUGCACAUAUUUAUUAAUUUGGGGAGGUGUGUGAAUCACUUCCAAUAAGUGACUUAUUAAAAACUGCAUAGUGUGUGUGGUAUAAGAACAUACACAUGGUGUCUAGAAUACUAGAAAUUGUUUAAUCUUGGAGUACACUGGAUACUAGUGCAUCCAUUAAGUACAUGCCCAAGUCAUUCAACUUUCAGGCUGAUGGCACCAUAGGUAGAAUCUCACCCUUUUAGGGCUGCUUGGGUAGUUGUUCCAUGUAUGUUCUGUUACGUAUAAAUGCAGUUGUUUCAACCAUUUUGCGUAUCACCAAACCUAAGAAUCACAUUCAACAUGAGUCUGCACAGAAGCCCCCCUGGCUGGGCCAAUGGAAUGCCAGCUCUGCAUGUGGGAUAGUAAGUACUUACAGAGUAUGUGUGCAAUACUGGCAAGCAUUUUACCAGACCCAACAUGGUGUAGUGUUUAAGAGCGGUGGACUCGUAAUCUGGUGAACCAGGUUCGCUUCCCCGCUCCUCCACAUGCAGCUGCUGGGUGACCUUGGGCUAGUCACACUUCUCUGAAGUCUCUCAGCCUCACUCACCUCACAGAGUGUCUGUUGUGGGGGAGGAAGGGAAAAUAGAUUGUUAGCCACUUUGAGACUCCUUAAGGGGAGUGUCAGGGAACUGCCAUCGGACGGAAGGGAGGUGAAAGGGCUCACACAGGUUGGGAGAGACGCAGCAGCUGAAGAGGAAACCAACAGGGAGGUGAAAGGGCUCACACAGGUUGGGAGAGACGCAGCAGCUGAUGAGGGAACCAGCAGGGGAGAGGAGCUGAGCUGGAGGGAUGGCUCAGAGACACUUCCAGCGAAAACAGUGGAGAGGUUUCAGGACCUCCUGUAAGAACACCCACUCCUCGCCGGAAACUGUCACGCAGAGAUUCCAGAAGACGUGUUUCCGUUAAGGAGCUUUUAUGUUGGAAGCGAUUACGAAGCAACCACUGUCGGAAUCUGCUAGUGACUAGAGUAGCCAUGUCUGAGGGGCUCUGUCACAGACAGAGGUUUGUGGACUUGAACAAACUCUGAGGGAUACGAUUUUACGCACAAGCAGCUCAUCAUCCCAUCACAGCAUUCCGACAGUCUUUGAAAGCAGCUUGUGCAGGAGAAGGUAUCAUGAGCAACCCAGCCGGAACCGGAGAAGCAGGAGCUGGAGCGGGUCCAAGCCUGGAAGAAAGGUACCAGAUGUUGGAGGUCCAGCUAGCGAUGCAGACGGCGAGGCUUGAGGAGAGGAGGGCUCAGGAUGCAGACAAACCGGGGAAAGCCACCCAGUUCGCCAGAAAGGUACCAGGAUUGGUGCAGAAGUUUGGGGGGGAGCCCAAAAACUAUCAUGGUUUUCGGACAGAAAUGCAAUAUGCCCUCAAUCUGCAGUUUGAUGAAUUCCCUGACGAGGAAUCACGAGUGGCUUUCGUGAUUGAGCAUCUUGAAAAGGGGGGCGAGAGACUGGGUUAGACCCCUGAUGGCAGCGAAUAGUGACGUCUUAAAAGACACGAUGAAGUUCUUUCGCGCCAUGGAUCUGAUGUUUUCCAGCGAUAUUGAAAAGGGAGUGGUGCGCAGACAGUUAAUGGGUUGCAAACAGGGGAGCCGAUCUGUCCGUGAGUACUGGACUGAGUUCACCAUGCUUGUUCACAGAUUGGGGUGGGACUUAUCGGCGGAACCCAUUCAAAUGCUCUUUGAAGAAGGGCUUUCUUCGGCUGUGAAAGACGAACUUUCCCGGGCGCCCAGGGCGGAGUCUAUGGACCAGCUGACCAAAUCAGCGCUGGCCAUAGGAGCGCGCCAGGAGGCGAGAGCAUUGGAGAGGCGGGAAGGGAAAGGGGAACGUUGGAAGGAGUUCCGCAUUCCAGACAUUCCAGAGCCAACUUUCCCACCGGCAGAGCCGAUGGAAAUCGGAACAGCGCGCGCGCGCAGUUUCAAAGCCCAGUGAGGGGGCAAAGAAGGAGGGAAAAGGCGCCCGGAAAUGCUAUCUCUGCCAACAGCCAGGUCACUUUGCCAGAGUCUGCCCCCAGAGGAAAGAAUGGCAAGGGAUGGUAGGGGCUGUGGAUGGAAGAGAGGAAAAUAUACCGGAGCAAGUAAAGCCAACGCCUGGCUGCCACUGUCAGGGCACAGCAGCCAGGCCAAAGAGCAGUGAGAGUGCCCACGCCAGAACCUCCUAAACCCGCCCUAGUGAUAGAAGUGACGCUAGAGCUGCCAAACGGACACCCUCUAAAGAUAAAGGCGCUGUUGGACUCAGGCAGCUCCUGCAAUUUCAUGAGCAAAGAGUUUGCAGCUGAACACCAGAUACAGACAAUCCCUUUAAGCAGCCCCCUGCAGGUGACCACGAUCGAUGGCAGGGAGCUGUUGGGUGGAGAAGUCAGCUUGCAGACCGUCCCAAUGAUAAUGAAGGUAGCAAGGCACACCGAACUGAUAGCUUUUAAUGUGGCCACCUUGGGAGGAGCUCCCAUUAUAUUGGGGAUGAGCUGGCUAGCGUUACAUGAUCCGCUGGUGGGCUGGCAUCAGAGAGUGGUUUCUUUUGGUUCAGCACAUUGCUUAGAACACUGCAAAGAGGGAAAGGGUUUGGCAGGGGUCCAAGCCACCCUAGCAGGGACUGAAGUAACAGAGAACGUGAAGGUACCACGACAAUAUGCAGAUCUCCGUGACGUCUUCAGCGAAAGGGAAGCUGACCAACUACCCCCGCAUAGACCCUUUGACUGUCAAAUCAACUUACUCCCUGGAGCACAGCUCCCUGUAGGCAAGCUGUACGCCAUGUCAGACAGAGAGAUGCAGGAGUUAAGAGAGUUCAUUGACAAGAACCUGAAGAGAGGGUUCAUCAGAGAGUCCAGGGCGGUGGGGGCAGCCCAGUGUUUUUGUGGAUAAGAAAAACACGAACAAGCCGAGGCUGGUGUGUGACUUCAGGGCCUUAAAUGCAGUGUCAGAACCAGUAGCCUUCCCUAUGCCCAGGAUUGACGACAUUUUGACAAGGGUGCGGAAGGGAAAGAUUUCACAAAGCUGGACCUAAGGGGGGCGUACAACCUGGUACGAAUAAGGAAGGGGGAUGAAUGGAAAACCACUAUGUUCACCCCUUUAGGGGCAUUUGAAUAUUUGGUUAUGCCCUUCGGCCUCCAAGCAGGCUCCGCAACCUUUCAAUCGUUUAUGAACCACGUCCUGGGGCCUUUGCUUUACAAGAAUUGUGUGGCCUUUUAGACGACGUGUUGGUGUAUUCUGAGAAUGAGGAGCAGCAUGUGAGAGACGUCAGAGAAGUGUUGAGCAGGCUGCAAGCCAACCAGCUGUGGGUGAAACUGGAGAAGUGUCAGUUUCAUACCAAGGAGGUGGAAUUCCUGGGGUAUCGCCUGUCAGACAAGGGAUUGGCCAUGGAUCCCGGCAAGGUCCAGGCUGUGCUGGAAUGGAAAGCACCCAAAACAAAGAAGGAUGUGCAGAGGUUCCUAGGAUUUGGGAACUUCUAUCGUAAGUUCAUCCGAAACUUUGCCCACCUGACGGCGCCCAUUACGGACUGUCUCAGCAGUAAGAAGAAGUUCGUGUGGACUGAGGAGGCGGAGCGAGCAUUUGAGGAACUAAAAGGGCCUUCGCCUCGGAACAACAACUCCUGCAUGUGGAUUUACAAAAACCGAUGAGAGUGGAAACUGACGCAUCAGACAGAGCGAUUGGGGCGGUGCUUCUGCAGCCAGGCAAGAAGGGGUCAGAGUGGAGACCGUGUGCCUUUUUUCCGCGAAAGCUGAACAAAUCCGAGAGGAACUACACGGUGUAUGACCGAGAACUACUAGCCAUUCAUGAGGCGUUCCGGAGAUGGAGGCACCUGCUAAUUGGCGCACAACAUAAGGUGCAAGUGUGCACUGACCACAAGAACCUAGAGUAUUGGAGGACGGCACGAGUGCUCAACCAACGGCAAGUGAGAUGGGCCCAGGAGUUCUCCAAAUUUAACUUUGAGAUUAGUUACGUGCCAGGCCCAGAGAACAUUAGGGCGGACGCUCUCUCACGCAAACCUGAAUAUUUGGAGGAGGGGGCACCGAAGAGAGACAUGUCAUUCCAGAAGACCGCUGGGUGUGUGGGGCGGCAUUGGUGGGACAAAGAGAACUGGUAGAGGAAACAGAGAAUGAUGAAUACGCCCAGAAUAAGCUCAGAGGUCUUAGGGGUGAUGGAGAGGAACCAGGGGUUUCGAGGAAAGAAAUGGAGCUUUGUAUUACAAAGGGGCACUGUAUAUCCCUGAAGGAGAGUUAAGGGGAGGGUACUCAAGCAGUUGCACGACAGCCCUACGGCGGGGCAUUUUGGACAACACAAAACCAUGUGGUUGGUCACCAGGGAAUUUUGGUGGCCUAAGGUGAGGGAAGAUGUACGUGAGUAUGUAAGAGGGUGCGAGCAAUGCCAGCGAGCCAAAGGGGAAAGGCGGGCGCCGGCGGGGCUGUUAGAACCCUUACCAACCCCAGAACGACCUUGGGAGGCAGUGUCGAUAGAUUUUAUGACUGAUCUGCCGAAGUCCAAAGGGAAAACAGCCAUCAUGGUGGUGGUAGACCUACUAACAAAGAUGUGCCACUUUGUAGCUUGCUCGCAUGCAGUCACGGCGGAAGAGACAGCGAAGUUAUUUGUAGAAAACAUUUUUAGGUUGCACGGGGUGCCAUUGAGGGUGGUCUCAGACCGAGGAAAACAAUUUACUUCCAGGUUCUGGAGGAAGCUCAUGAGCUUACUGCAGGUGGAGGUCAUUUUUCGACUGCCCGGCACCCUGAAACCAACGGGCAGGCGGAAAGAGCAAACGGUGUCCUCCAGCAAUACCUGAGGUGUUAUGUCAAUGACAGAGAGAAUGACUGGGUAGAAAAGUUGGCGCUGGCGGAAUUUGCCUACAACAAUGCCGAGAAUGUGUCCACAGGGAUGAGCCCCUUCUUGGCUAAUUAUGGGUGUCAUCCCAGGGCUUUCCCAGGGGAGAGGGGAGAGAUGGAGCGUCCCGGCAGCCGAGCAUUUUGUGGAAGAAAUGGAAGCAAUCCAUCGUCAGCUCCAACUCAACUUAGAAAGGGCGAAGGAAGAAUACAAGAGGCAGGCAGACAAGAACCGAAGGGAAGGUGAAACCAUAAGGGUGGGAGAUAGGGUGUGGCUGUCAACCCAAGGGUUGCCGUUCAAAGGAGGUUGUAAGAAAUUAAGACCCAGGAGGUUGGGUCCCUUUGAGGUCAUUCAACAGGUCAACCCAGUGGCUUUCAGGCUCCGGUUACCCAACCACAUGAAACUGCACCCAGUAUUUCACAGGUCGUUACUGUCACCGUACGAAGGGGGACGAGAAGGGCUGGCCACUCGGGGACCGGUCGUAGAAGAAAGAGAAUGCAGCAGCCAUGUGGCAGAAAUCCUCGACGCCAGGUGGAAGGGGGAUCAGGUGGAGUAUUUGGUAGCGUGGGAAGGAGAACCGGAGUCAGAAAACACUUGGGUAAUGGCUGAAGAUAUCAAUGACGAGGUAUUGAUAGAAACGUUCCAUCAAAGGUUCCCAAGGAAACCUCAGCCUGUGGAGAGGUUCCGGAGGGAAUACUUUGGGACCACUGAUGAAGGGGAGGAGUUGGAAGGAUUCCCGGACUCGGAAGGGGAAGGGGGGAUGGACUCUGAGGAGGAGGUGUACUUCGAGACCAGGAACCGCAACAGGUUGAGAGAAGUGUUCGAGACAUCGGAAGAUGAAGGAAGUUCAUUCCGGGGUUUUGCCUCCUCACCGCCCGUAGAGGAGGGGCGAGAGGGGUGAAGGGGGCCCUGGAGGGGAGGUGGAUGUCAGGGAACUGCCAUCGGACGGAAGGGAGGUGAAAGGGCUCACACAGGUUGGGAGAGACGCAGCAGCUGAAGAGGAAACCAACAGGGAGGUGAAAGGGCUCACACAGGUUGGGAGAGACGCAGCAGCUGAUGAGGGAACCAGCCAGGGAGAGGAGCUGAGCUGGAGGGAUGGCUCAGAGACACUUCCAGCGAAAACAGUGGAGAGGUUUCAGGACCUCCUGUAAGAACACCCACUCCUCGCCGGAAACUGUCACGCAGAGAUUCCAGAAGACGUGUUUCCGUUAAGGAGCUUUUAUGUUGGAAGCGAUUACGAAAGCAACCACUGUCGGAAUCUGCUAGUGACUAGAGUAGCCAUGUCUGAGGGGCUCUGUCACAGACAGAGGUUUGUGGACUUGAACAAACUCUGAGGGGAUACGAUUUUACGCACAAGCAGCUCAUCAUCCCAUCACAGGGAGUGAAAGGUGGGAUAUCAAAUACAAACUCUUCCUCUUCUUCAGAGGUCAGCAAACUUUUUCAGCAGGGUGCCGGUCCACUGUCCCUCAGAUCUUGUAGGGGGCCGGACUAUAUUUUUUGGGGGGAGGGGGAUGAACAAAUUCCUAUGCCCCAUGAAUAACCCAGAGAUGCAUUUUAAAUAAAAGCACACAUUCUACUCGUGUAAAAACACCAGGCAGGCCCCACAAAUAACCCAGAGAUGCAUUUUAAAUAAAAGGACACAUUCAUGUAAAAACACUGAUUCCUGGACUGUCCACGGGCUGGAUUUAGAAGGCAAUUGGGCCAGAUCCGGCCCCUGGGCCUUAGUUUGUCUACCCAUGUUCUUCUUCUUCUACCCAUCACUUUUGUUGCAUCUCGUCUGGCUGUUCCGAUGCACAUCAGUGGUGUCUGUAGCACGUAUAACAACACUCACUUGAUGUGUGUGUCCAUUUUAAAACGUAUUCCUUGUCAUAUAUACGCAGUAGGGAAGCCAUAACUCAGUGGUAGUACAUGUGCUUUGCAUGCAGAAGGUCUCAGGUUCAAUCUCUGGCAUCUCUAGGUAGAGCUGGGAGAGACCAGUCUGAAAUCACAGAAAUUGCCAAUCAGUGUAGACAAUUCUGAGCAAGAUGGAUCAAUGGUCUUACUCAAUAUAUUGCAGCUUAAUAUGUUCUCAGUAACAAGGCAAUUAAAUAGCCCCUACUACUGCCUUUUCUGUGGUGGCUCUCCACUUAUGGAAUGCUCUUCACAGGGACACUUGCCUGGUACCUUUGUUACAUAUCUUUAGGUGCCAGGCAAAAACAUUUCUCUUCUCCCAAGCCUUUGGCUAAUUAAACAAUUUGUGGCCUUUUUAACUGGGGGAUUGUUUUUGUCUGUUACUACGCUAUGCAUUUCUGUGUUUUUAUAUUGUAAACUGCCCUGUGAUCCUCGGAUGAAGAGAAGUAUAGAAGUUUAAAUAACAAAAACAACAUCUUACAUAUAGCUCAAUACAUAGGCAAAUGCAUUUUAAGAGAAAUGUAUGUGGAAUAUCUUGUGCAAUAUCAGUUCUGAGGACCUUUGGGACCCUCCCAGUUCUCUAAUUCCAUGAUGAUAUUACAUUAUUCGAAUCUCCUCGAAUAAGGUGAAGGGUGAAGGAUCUUAGCAAAGGGGAAUUAAGAUGAAGGGAUAUGCUACAGUGUUUGCAUAGCAAUGGCCAGAUCAAAUCAUUUAGCUGAGGAACAUGUGUCCCUGCUCUGGAGCGUUGCAUUCUAAAAGCAAGUUUUAUCGCUAUAUAUAUACAUACAUAAAAUCUAUACCUACAUAUUAAACAAGUUAUGAGCCGAACUAACCUAUGGUGCAUUAAUAUGUGUUAUUAUUUGACAUAAAUGAUAAUGACAUCUAACAGAAUACAGAACGGGUAGGAUUAUUAGACAACUGUAAUUAUGGAUAUUGAGCCCUUAAUGGGGGGAAUCAUUUUUAAGUUCCCCAGACCCUGAAAAAGUUGAAUUUAAAUAAUGCAGUUUUUACUUGUCAGAUCCCCCUUUCAGCUAAGUAGCACGUUGAACGGGAGCUGCCUGAAAAAUCUGCCAAACCAUUAUGAGCACUCCAAAUUGAAGAUAAAUGAAUCUCUUGAGUGCCACCCCCAGCUUGUCUUGAAUAUUCAUUUUUACUUUUUAUUUUUACAGUAUUUGAUGAGUGAAAAAGUAUUAUUUGACCAUUUGCAAAUGUGCUGGUAUAAAAAAUGCAAGAAGAUGUCUCCAAGAAAUAAGAUGUACAUGAGAACAAAGCGACAAGUUAUGAAAUAUUAGCAGAAAAAUGGGUUGUAGACAAUGUUACUUCAGUUGUUACACUUCUAUAGGUUUCACAGAAUAAAGGAACAAAUAAAAUUCUUUUUCUUAUUGGGCCAAGUAUUUGUAUAAAUGGUACCCCUAAUUUAAAGCUGCGUCCCUAAGCAAACUUUCUCACAAGUAAGCAUCAUUGAAUACAUUGGAACUUACUUCCGAGAAAACAUUCAUAUUAAUGUGCUACAAAAGGUGUAAUGUUUGUCAAGUGCAGGAGCUGAUCUAAUGUAAGAUAUUAUUUCACCUGUUCUUUGUCUCUCUUGAUUUUUGUCAUUUAAUCUUCACCGAGACAGAAUGUGGCCAACUCCCUUGAAUGCAGUGUUUGUUUCCCAAUAUUCUGAUGGGCAUCAGUAGAAACUAUAAGCUUCAAACAUUUAUUCUAUUUUGCCCUCAUCUUUUUUGUGUUCCAGUUUCUAUCUGGGUGUACUGCAGAGCUCAACAAUUUUCCUUAAAGAUUUUCAGAAUUGCAAAAACAGAAAAGGGGCUGAGUCAACUACAGCACUAUGGUGAUCUGCAAUGUAGCUUUAUUAGACAUUGUUUUGUUUUUUUGUUUUUUGUCUAGGAAUGAAAUUAAUUAACAGCAAUUACAGUGUGUGAAGCAGACACUCUUAACACCUUUAUAUUGUGGCUGCUUCAGACAAAAGCUGUCAAUGCAAAUGGAGUUUGAAUACCAGUGCAAACAUUUGGUUUACGGUAAGGUUCAACUAGAACACUUUGUAUAUUGUUUUAAUUCUUUAUAUCUUAUCUUCAAACUAGCCUGCUUGUGUAGUAAGAUCUUCUGUAGAAGCCUUUCCCCAAACACUGCUUUAACAAAGGUCUAUUGUGUAGGGACGCAGGUGGCGCUGUGGGUUAAACCACAGAGCCUAGGUCAGAAGGUCGGCAGUUUUAAUCCCCGCAACGGGGUGAGCUCCCAUUGCUCAGUCCCUGCUCCUGCCAACCUAGCAAUUUGAAAACACGUCAAAGUGCAAGUAGAUAAAUAGGUACCGCUCCAGCGGGAAGGUAAACGGCGUUUCCGUGCGCUGCUCUGGUUCGCCAGAAACGGCUUAGUCAUGCUGGCCACAUGACCUGGAAGCUGUACGCCGGCUCCCUCAGUCAAUAAAGCGAGAUGAGCGCCGCAACCCCAGAGUCGGUCACGACUGGACCUAAUGGUCCGGGUCCUUUACCUUUACCUAUUGUGUAGUCAUAAAGCAGAGAGCCCGUUCUGUGGUGGCUCUCCAACUUUAGAAUGUCCUUGCAAAGGAGGUGUGUGUGGUGCUGACUUUACAAUUUGUUGGCCUCAAGUUAAGAUGUUCUUAUUUUUCCAGGUAUUUUAGAAAGAAUUGCAAUUGGAACUGCUUUUCAGGAUUUAUAUCCAGCCCACCAGCCAAAAAAAAGCUCUCAGAACGGCUUACAAAAUUCAGUUCAAAGGUGGUCCUUUCCCAACAGCCUACCAGCUAAGAAGAUAUGGCACACAAGGAAAAAAGAAUGGGAAAGAGGAGGAGAAAGCAAGCUUAAGCACAAGUUAUUAUAGUUGCAGUUUUGGUAAAGAGCAGUCCCUUCCCUGAAGCACUCUUCUCUCUGAUGAGAUCCAGGAAUGGAACUGGUGACAACAUCCAGAAGAUCUGGUCAGCUCCUGCCACACAGUUCAUCCUUGAUGGCUAUUGAAGAUUCAAAGGAGAGGACAUGAUGAAGUUAUCCUCAUCCACCCCCAAAGUCAAUGGCAGUUCAGAAAACUCUUCCCUGCGUUUAUAACCAAGACCUCAGCUGUACUGCAGAGGUGGCAACAAAGCCAUGUGCCAGAAUUUCCAGAAGACCUCAGUGCUUUAGCAUGUAUGCUGGGUGUUGAUCACUUUGGAAAAAUCUGGCCCUCAUUUCUCUGCUGAGCAUUUGACAAUCUGGCCUCAGCUCCUUGAUGUGAAAAUCUGGCUCUGUACGUGGCAGAAAUUAGUCAGAGUAGCAUUUAGCACUGCAGUUAUGCAACAGACAAACUGAGAAGCAUUUGACAAAGCUGCUGAGUUUGUUCUCUUGCUGCGUGUCAGUUCUGUCCUUGAUUCCUCCUCAGCUGCCUGCUUCAAAAUGUACUAUUAUAGGACAGGGAGAAUUGAAUAUUUCUACUGGAUAUAUUUGCUUUGGGGGUGGGGUGACGGCAAUGAAAACUCUGCC